rnacentral:rRNA from 1 species
UCAGGCGAGGCCACCCGCCGAGUUUAAGCAUAUAAAUAAGCGGAGGAGAAGAAACUUACAAGGAUUCCCCUAGUAACGGCGAGUGAACCGGGAUCAGCCCAGCUUGAGAAUUUGACGGUUGAAAUCGUUCGAAUUGUAGUCUGGAGAAGCGUC